rnacentral:rRNA from 1 species
UACGUAGGGACCGAGCGUUGUCCGGAUUCAUUGGGCGUAAAGGGCUCGUAGGCGGUCUGUCACGUCGGGAGUGAAAACUCAGGGCUUAACCCUGAGCCUGCUUCCGAUACGGGCAGACUAGAGGUAUGCAGGGGAGAACGGAAUUCCUGGUGUAGCGGUGGAAUGCGUAGAGAUCCGGAAGAACACCGGUGGCGAAGGCGGCCUGCUGGGCAGUAGCUGACACUGAGGCGCGACAGCGUGGGGAGCAAACAGG